rnacentral:rRNA from 1 species
UACGUAGGGACCAAGCGUUGUUCGGAUUUACUGGGCGUAAAGGGCGCGUUGGCGGCCCCGCAAGUCACUUGUGAAAUCUCCGGGCUUAACUCGGAACUGCCAAGUGAAACUGCAGGGCUAGAGUGCGGAAGGGGCAAUCGGAAUUCUUGGUGUAGCGGUGAAAUGCGUAGAUAUCAAGAGGAACACCUGAGGUGAAGACGGGUUGCUGGGCCGACACUGACGCUGAGUGCGCGAAAGCCAGGGGAGCAAACGGG